AUACGUAGGGGGCGAGCGUUGUCCGGAAUGAUUGGGCGUAAAGGGCGCGUAGGCGGCCCGGUAAGUCUGGAGUGAAAGUCCUGUUUUUAAGAUGGGAAUUGCUUUGGAUACUGUCGGGCUUGAGUGCAGGAGAGGUAAGUGGAAUUCCCAGUGUAGCGGUGAAAUGCGUAGAGAUUGGGAGGAACACCAGUGGCGAAGGCGGGUAACUGGACUGCAACUGACGCUGAGGCGCGAAAGUGUGGGGAGCAAACAGGAUUAGAUACCCUGGUAGUCCACACUGUAAACGAUGAAUGCUAGGUGUAAGAGGUAUCGACCCCUUUUGUGCCGGAGUCAACACAAUAAGCAUUCCGCCUGGGGAGUACGGCCGCAAGGUUGAAACUCAAAGGAAUUGACGGGG
rnacentral:rRNA from 1 species